GGAGUUCUCCAGGUGAAGGAGGAGCAAAUAGAGCACCUUUGGGAAUGAAAAACACAAGAUUCAGCAUGUUCCCAUUAGCACCAAGGGGAAACCAAAUGAAUUCUACAGCUUUGGCUGAUGACAGAAAAAUCAAAGAAUGAAAAAAUCGCUGGAAAAUUUUUUUCAGCCAGCUCUUGGGGACAAUGAUCCUUCCCAACCUCGCGGCAGGCCGCAUGGGAGGCUCAGCUUGCUACUGUUGAUAAAAAUGCAUUGAGAUCCUCAGAUGGGCGGCACAAGGACAAGCACAGACUAAGAUUGUCCAUUUCCUGACCAUACCGUGGGACGGAGCGACCCAUAACCUGCAGCCUCCUUCCACAAUGACAUUCCAGCCGUGCUUUGCGCCCAGGACUGGCUGGAUUUCCAGUAAUGGGAGCCAGAGCUGACCCAGAAGAGUCCAGCCAAGCUGGAGAUCCCGAUCAGAGCUGAGCAGGGGCGGAUGUAGCCUUCUGAUUCGAUGGGCACAAGACACUGAGCUGCCAAGGGACACCCACCGCCUGCAGGACCCAGCACUGUGGCCAUACUCCCAGCCUGGUGUGGAGAGAGACCCCAGAGGUGGGGUAGGAGGCUUUCCCCUCGCAGUGGCCGAGUCCUGUGCCCAGCGCCGGGUGUUGAGACCUGGCACACAGGGUUGCAGCUCCGUUCAGGUUUGGCCUGACAGCUCUUGCAUCACAAUGCUGAGUGGUGC